GCAUGCUCAUGUAAUCCUGCUGUCAAUCUUUCUGUGUUUAUACUCACGGCAAAAACAAUGAAUUUAUAUAGACAUAAAUAAGGAUGAUGAAAAGCUGGACUAAAACUUGAGAACUAAAAAACUAAACAUCACUUGAAACAUAGCCACCAUCAAGAGAACCUGACAUCGAUGAUCUAACUUGAAUUAGUUGAAUAUGCCAGUAUUGUAUCGAUUCUCUUGGCCUUUGUAAGCAACACGACAAUUUUACAAGACGUUUAAUAAGAACUUGUAUUUUGAAAGUGAUUAACAAAUCAUUCCUCUUUAAAAGUGAGAUAUUUUCCUCUGCUGCAUGAUGUUACGUUCUGACAAAAUUCUUCAACUCUAGUCCUACUGAUAUUCACUACGUUUCUGAAGAUUGCAGAGCGAGCAUUCUGGGUACAAUGGCUGGGUACUGCAAUAUAAAAUUAAUACGCAUGCGCAUCAUUGCUUUUCUUUUUAGCGCGCUUUUGUCAACGAGAACGACGGUGACUAUUUUUGCUCUAAAAUACUCAUUUCAUUCCUAACGAUUCGGAGAUGACUUUAAUCCACUAAGAGAACGAUAAACUGUUUCAGCAAUGUGAUUACCUUUCUUUAACAUUUAUAUUUUUGAUUCGGUGUUGUAAUGUUUUUUAUUUAAUUUGCUAUUGGCAGAGGAUAGUUAAGCCACUGAUAUGUAAACUAAACUGGACUAUUUAUCCACGUACAUAUAUAGUAGGCUAUGUGAACAAAAACGCUUCUCCCUACGGCAUGGAAACUAUUGAAGCCAAAAUUAACCCAUCGAGUCAAGAAAUUGUUGACAAACAAAAGAAAAAACAAACGAAAUAUUACAACCAUGGCAGCAAGCCAUUAAUAGAUCUCAACCUAGGAGAUACAGUACUUAUACGACCAGACCAGGCGUGCAGGACAUGAAGGAAAGAAGUGUGUAACCAGAAGUUUGCACCCACGUCGUACCUAAUUAUUUCGAAAGGCUAAAUAUGCAGACGGAACAGAAGACAUCAGCCAUCCACUAAAGAAAGGGGAAGAUUGAUACAGAGCUUAAUGGGAAGAAAAUUAACAAUCUGAGUCCGAAGACCGAAAUGAGCAACAGGUGCAGCAAACUUCUCUACGCAAGACAUGACCUUAAAUGUCAGUAUAGAAACCAAUCAAGCACGACUAGACACCGACACAUCGGACACAUCAGUCAAAAGAAAAUCUUCUGUAGGACGUACAUUUACAAUGAACGUUCUACAUGUGAUUACCAAUUUUUGUGAAAACUACUCCUAGAUCCUUCAAAUUAUAAUAUUGUUUUUUUCCUUA